rnacentral:rRNA from 1 species
UACCAGCACCCCGAGUGGUCGGGACGAUUAUUGGGCCUAAAGCAUCCGUAGCCGGUUUUACAAGUCCUCCGUUAAAUCCAGCUGCUUAACAGAUGGGCUGCGGAGGAUACUAUAAGACUAGGAGGCAGGAGAGGCAAGCGGUACUCAGUGGGUAGGGGUAAAAUCCGUUGAUCCAUUGAAGACCACCAGUGGCGAAGGCGGCUUGCCAGAGCGCGCUCGACGGUGAGGGAUGAAAGCUGGGGGAGCAAACCGG